UUAAAAAGCUCGUAGUUGAAUUUCGGGAUCGAAUUGUUGGUCGUGCUUCGGUACGCACUGGCAUUAUCGGUUCCUACCUUCUGAAGAACCGCGAUGUCAUUAAUUUGGUGUCGUGGGGAAUCAGGACUGUUACUUUGAAAAAAUUAGAGUGUUUAAAGCAGGCUUACGCUUGAAUACAUUAGCAUGGAAUAAUGAAAUAGGACGUUUGAUUCUAUUUUGUUGGUUUCUAGGAUCGACGUAAUGAUUAAUAGGGAUAGUUGGGGG
rnacentral:rRNA from 1 species